rnacentral:lncRNA from 1 species
AACUAGAGGGAAUAGUGAUAGAACUAGAGGGAAUGGUUUUAAGCUGCACCAGGGGAGAUUCAGGCUGGACAUUAGGAAGUAUUACUUCUCGGAAAGGGUAAUCAGGCAUUGGAAUGAACUGCCCAGGGAGGUGGUGGAGUCACUGACAAUGGGAGUGUUCAAGAAACGUUUGGAUGUGAUGUAUGGAAUAUGAUUUAUCCGGGAAGUAUUGGCAAUGGUUGGACCAGAUGAUCUUCUAGGUCUUUUCCAACCUUGAUAAUUCUGUGAUUCUGUGAUUUGACUCAGCAGGAUCAGACAUGAAACUUUGUCUAAGUGGACCGUCCAGCUUCGCACCACAAAUCUCAAGGAAGUGAAGUCUGCUGGUUGGUCCAUCAGAAAUUUGCCGUCGGGAGCCACUGGGUGGCAGUGCUUCCUCUGCCUUGCUGCUCUUACUGGAAGCCAACGCCUCAAGAGCAACCACGGUGAUACUCGGUGCGUCCCCAUGAGAAGAGUGAGAACAAGAACACUCAGACUGCUCUGAAGAUGAUCCUGGGUUGUGAGUUUAGUUCACUUAAAAUUAUUGCAUCUAAUUCUUUUAAUGUCAACCUCCUGGUACAGACAGAAGCAGUGAUGUUUACACUGUGAUGUCAAACAGUGCCCUUUCUUCUCCACUCUUACCCUUCCUUCCUCACCAAAGCACUGUAAGUUUGGGGAAAUCCAGUUCAGAGUCUUUUGUUUAAACUUUCCCUUCAUCCACCAUUACAUUUAGCUCUAAAUUCCAAUCUGCAUAUGAUACCUAAAAUUGCCAAAGCUUUUGGUUAUUCAAAUUGGAGGAGAAAAUUGUUAAUGUGAGCCUGUCUGUGGUGAAUGAUAUAUAAUAAGAUGCCUGGGAUGCUAGCUAUAUCAGUUAGAUGUAUGCAUAUACUGUAUUCACAGGUGCAAUAUCAGAGUUGUUAGUCUAUCAUCUUGCUUGAUGGCAAAAUACGAGGCAGUUUCUAUUUUUUAUUAGCUUCUCAAUUGCUUGCUCUCAGUAAACAGGUUGUUGACUUUUUGGAUAGAUAUUUGCACAUAUCUUCACCUUCCACUCAGUGUAGUUACCCAGCCUGUUUUUUUA